rnacentral:rRNA from 1 species
CGCCUCUUGCUACACCCAGUAUAAGAGGUCUCGCCUGCCCAGUGAUAAAUUUUAACGGCCGCGGUAUCAUGACCGUGCAAAGGUAGCGUAAUCACUUGUCUUUUAAAUAAAGACCCGUAUGAAAGGCAAAACGAAAAUUCAACUGUCUCUUUAAUCUGAUCAGUGAAAUUAAUCUCUCCGUGCAGAAGCGGAGAUAACCAUAUAAGACGAGAAGACCCUAUGGAGCUUUAAACAUGAAGUUAACCACACAACACCAACAACCAACAGGUAAAAAAUAAAAAUGUGUGGCCAUACCCUGAGUUUUCGGUUGGGGCGACCACGGAAGAAGAAAAUCCUCCGAGAUAAAUAACUUAGAACAACACUUCAAAGACUAAGACAUUUGCUAUAAAUGAUCCACUAAGUGACCAACGAACCAAGUUACCCUAGGGAUAACAGCGCAAUCCUUUCUAAGAGUCCAUAUCGACGAAUGGGUUUACGACCUCGAUGUUGGAUCAGGACACCCAAAUGGUGCAGCCGCUAUUAAAGGUUCGUUUGUUCAACGAUUAAAGUCCU